UCCAGGCGCUUACCAUGCAGUCGAGCGCACUCUUCGGAGUGAGCGGCGGACGGGUUAGUAACGCGUGGGAACGUGCCCUUCUCUAAGGAAUAGCCACUGGAAACGGUGAGUAAUACCUUAUACGCCCUUCGGGGGAAAGAUUUAUCGGAGAAGGAUCGGCCCGCGUUAGAUUAGAUAGUUGGUGGGGUAAUGGCCUACCAAGUCUACGAUCUAUAGCUGGUUUUAGAGGAUGAUCAGCAACACUGGGACUGAGACACGGCCCAGACUCCUACGGGAGGCAGCAGUGGGGAAUCUUGGACAAUGGGCGCAAGCCUGAUCCAGCCAUGCCGCGUGAGUGAUGAAGGCCUUAGGGUCGUAAAGCUCUUUCGCCAGAGAUGAUAAUGACAGUAUCUGGUAAAGAAACCCCGGCUAACUCCGUGCCAGCAGCCGCGGUAAUACGGAGGGGGUUAGCGUUGUUCGGAAUUACUGGGCGUAAAGCGCACGUAGGCGGAUCAGAAAGUAUAGGGUGAAAUCCCAGGGCUCAACCCUGGAACUGCCUUGUAAACUCCUGGUCUUGAGUUCGAGAGAGGUGAGUGGAAUUCCGAGUGUAGAGGUGAAAUUCGUAGAUAUUCGGAGGAACACCAGUGGCGAAGGCGGCUCACUGGCUCGAUACUGACGCUGAGGUGCGAAAGUGUGGGGAGCAAACAGGAUUAGAUACCCUGGUAG
rnacentral:rRNA from 1 species